UGGCUGCGCCCUUCACUCACCAUUCGCUGUCUUCUUUAUGCAGAAGAAACUGUAAUAUUAAAGGAAAACAUCAUUUAAUAUCACUCAACAGGCUGAUAUAUACCUCUGCUGUUCUCUCAUUAAGCGCUUUAUCCACUGAAAGAAACACUGUAGGCUGAGGUGUCCGGGGCCAGUGGAUAUCUAAAAGAUAGUCUGGGGAGCCCAGGACAGGACAGAUGACCGUGGGUCAAGACUGGACCGCAGUUUACCCCACUGCAGCAUCAUUCAAACCUUCUGCAGUUCCACUGCCAGUACAGAUGGGUUAUCCAGUGAAGAGAGGGGUACCACCUGAGAUUAAGGGCAAUCUGGAGCUGAUCAAGGUUUCACUUGAACCCUUUUUGAGCAGGAAUAUUCAGGUGGCCGACAGCUUUGUCUGCUGGGCUUUCACUGCGAAACCCAGACGCCAGAAUGGCAACGCUCAAGGUGAAACUUUCCAGUUUAAAUCUGGAUGAUCACGGCAGAAAGGAAAUGAUCAGACUCAGCAGAGAGCGUUACGGCAAAGAUGCACUCGCCAUCACCACAGACAGUUGAGGGACAUGCAUAGAUGAAUCUGUUGAGUAACAACUCAUUUGUUCUUCUAUACACUUCUCAAAUACAAAUUAAUUAUGUGAUGUUUGGAAAAUAUCUCACUGUGUCUGUUUUUAGUUGCCCGUUGAGACAGCAGAAUUAUGAUUACGCCAUGUAUCUUCUAACGGUCCUUUACCACGAGUCCUGGGUGAGUCUGAAGGCAUCAGGGAAAAUUCACAAAACUGAUUGGACCGCUUUUAUGACGUAUAUUUUGCGACGGAAGUUGCCGAACAUUCAAAACAAUGCUGGCUGCUGGGCGACAUGUGCUCGUUGGAUGUAUAUAUGGUGGUAUUUUUACCAGCUGAGAUCAAACAAAGAGUUCAGAAAAUGUGUAAAGGAGUCAAACAGCGCCAGGAAUUCCUCCGUUGCACACACAAACGAAGAUAUGCUGCAAGGAGACGCCGGUUCCGACGCCUGUCCCGAACUGUAAUGGGCAACAUCGCUCUUAUGAUGAGAAGAACCAGAAAACCGAGCCAUGGGAGCAAGAAAAGACGAGCGCCCCAGCCCAUCCCAGAAGAACAUUCUGGAAACACUCCUGUGCAUGCGGACACUUGGAGCAAAUGAUGAGGUGGAGGGGGGAACCAGAGAGGAGCUGCUCGGACAGCUGGCUGUAAAGGAGUACAAAAACAUGGUGGU